rnacentral:rRNA from 1 species
UAAUGGAUAGGUAACGUACCCCGAGCUCCGGAAUAGCCAUUCGAAAGGGUGGGUAAUACCUGGAUAAUACCAUGUGCCCCAAGGUAUAUGGUCAAAGAUUUAUCGGCACGGGAGCGGCCUGUCUCCCAUCAGUUUGUUGGUGAGGUAACGGCUCACCAAGGCAGCGACGGGUAGCGGGACUGAGAGGUUGACCCGCAACAUCGGGACUGAGACACUGCCCGGACCUCCACGGAGGGCUGCAGUAACGAAUAUUGCGCAAUGGGCGAAAGCCUGACGCAGCGACGCCGCGUGUAGGAUGAAGUCCCUCGGGAUGUAAACUACUGUCAGGGGUUAGAAAGUCCGGUUCGCCGGAUUGAUCGGCCCCAGAGGAAGUCACGGCUAACUUCGUGCCAGCAGCCGCGGUAAUACGAAGGUGGCUAGCGUUGUUCGGUGUCACUGGGCUUAAAGCGUGUGUAGGCGGAAAAGAAAGCGUUUUGUGAAAGCCCCCGGCUUAACCGGGGAACUGCAAGACGAACUGCUUUUCUUGAGGCAAGCAGGGGUGCGUGGAACUCUUGGUGGAGCGGUGGAAUGCGUAGAUAUCAAGAGGAACGCCGGUGGUGAAGACGACGCACUGGGCUUGUCCUGACGCUGAGACACGAAAGCGUGGGGAGCGAACGGGAUUAGAUACCCCGGUAGUCCACGCCGUAAACGAUGUCUACUAGGUUGUGGGAGUUCUGACACUUUCACGGCCGAAGCAAAAGUGCUAAGUAGACCGCCUGUGGAGUACGGUCGCAAGGCUAAAACUCAAAGGAAUUGACGGGGGCUCACACAAGCGGUGGAGCAUGUGGAUUAAUUCGAAGCAACGCGCAGAACCUUACCUGGGUUUGACAUGCUUGGAUGACUGCCUGGAAACAGGUUAGUCUGCCCUUCGGGGUGAAACUUGCACAGGUGCUGCAUGGCUGUCGUCAGCUCGUGUCGUGAGAUGUCGGGUUAAGUCCUUUAACGAGCGAAACCCUUACCGUUUGUUGCCAGCGGGUAAUGCCGGGUACUCUAACGGGACUCCCGGUGUCAAACCGGAGGAAGGUGGGGACGACGUCAAGUCAUCAUGGCCUUCAUGCCCAGGGCCUCACACGUGCUUCAAUGGCGGCGACAAAGCGACGCGAGACCGCGAGGUGGAGCAAAUCUCAAAAACGUCGCCUCAGUUC